GGUCCCGUAGCUCAGCUGGAUAGAGCACCGGAUUCCUAAUCCGGGGGUCGUGGGUUCGAAUCCCGCCGGGGUCA
rfam:Devosia psychrophila strain Cr7-05 contig40, whole genome shotgun sequence.